AUUUAAGCUGUAUUCGUUUCAAUGCGUUCAUAAAGUACGAUCAAUAGGAACUGCCAGGAAAGGAAUUGAACACUCAAAGACAACCUACUUAACGCUAUACGCUCGUAAGAGGUUAAUUAAAAGCGGAGCGUAACAAUCGAUAGGCAAGAAAGGGUAGAGCAUCGACAUCACUCCAAGCAGCACUCGUAAAAGAACAAUGGUCGCGUGUCUAGAAAACAUCGUAAUUAUGUCAAAGGAGUAACUGCGGAAGUGUAAAGUACUCCGACAUGUUGCAGCGAAAAUUACGCUUGAAACGGAGAUGUAUGUUCUUCACAAAAGUAGCAUCCGUAGUGUAACAGCCCUCCUAGGAAGGAUCGACUUGCGACCGCACAAUAUCCCACGUAUAUACGAUUAUCGAUCAAGGAUACGUAAACAGCCGUGGUAUAGUUGCGCACACGCGGCGACCAGGCCACUUAGCGUAUGUUUGUUUAGUACCUUUUACGACUAUAUUGUCCGGGCAUGUGUUAGAUUACGGAGCAGCCAGUGUCUGGCGCAUAGCUGAGGGUUGGGUGGUACGGCGCCGUGCUUCGAGAGGGUCAUUUAUAACUGUUAUCGUGAGACUUACUAGCCCACUUACUACCUCCACUGUGUCUAUUCUCCACCCACUCUUCUAUUCUACUGGAAGAAACGUAAGCGCGAGAUGCGCCAGUCCACCGAACCUGCUGGUCAUUCUAGCACGGUUUUUUAUUCGGUCAUCUUGUAUCACGCCAGAGAAUAAAAUCUUUGAGUAACGACAUCAUUUUCAGAAAAUCUUGAUUUUUAUCGCCAGUGUUCUAUGAGAAAAAUUGGCAGUUGUUUGUUUUCUCUGUUCCUUUCCAUUAGUUAGUUUACAUUCUAUAGAUGAUUUGUACAUUAUAAUUAAUUGUAAAAUAGAAUUAUGGUCUCGAGUUAUAUUGCGAUCUUUCCUAAUAAAGCAAGGUAGUAAUUGUUGGCUGUAUUGUUUUCCUUAAAUAUAAAAUUAUUUAGAAAUUCAUAGUCGAGAAACUAUAGGCGAGUGGAGAAGGUUAUUUUACGUAAAAUGUAUAAUUGUUGCUGGACUAAUUACAAUCCUGUUUUCAUUAGCUGUGGGACUUGUAACCGUAAUAGCUAUGCACACAGUCCUAAUCCUUUGUUCUCAUAAAGCCACUUUGAGUGGCGAACUGACCGAACUGAAUGCGAACUUUGGACAUAGCGUUUAAGGUUGGUAAUAUGCUAGCUUUACAUAAAUCUGCGUGAUAACUAAUGUGCAAACUUUCAUAUUUAUUGAGAUAACCGGAUACAAUUGUAGCGGCACACGAGUCAUAGGACAAAGAAAAUCAUGUAGUUGUUUUGCCUCAAAGUAUCAAGAUCGCUAGAUUACAAGUAAUGUAAAAACAAUGUCACCGCUACCAGUAACCGUCGUAGGAAGACAAAUUCGAAUUCUCUGAUCCCCCCCCCCCCUCCGACUAGUAUAAAUAAACCGACGCGAUCGCGAGCAAUAGUUCUUACCGAGUACGUAAAGAAUUCAUAGCAAGUAUUUAGCGUCAUCCGGAAUGACUUUGAAUAUCUAGCGAGCGUCUAUCAAGGAUACGACGGUUACCGCCAAAUCCUGGAAGCCACGCCAAGUGGCGGAAACACGGGAAUUCCAUCUGGAUUUACUAAGAUCAGUGCCAUUUAAUGUGGAGCUCGAUAAAUCCCUUAAAAGCUGGUGGUCGGCAAGAAGACGGUGCAUUACAAUUUUCCAGAAAGGAGAAUGGCGAACGUCUAGGGGAGACGCAGACAAAUCUGCAAAUGCAAGGCUUCAGGUGCCAAAUGCUUUCAUCGUAUAACGAUGUUCAAUUUGCGACGAAUUGCUCUGCGCUUAAUCUCGAAAGAAUUGAGAAGAAAUACUUUGUGUAUAUCAAUAGAAAACUGGAAUAUUCAUGACGAUCUGCAUCUUUAUAAUCUACUCUUCACCAAUGUUUUCCGUGAAAGUUGCGCAAUCUCGACGGAGAACUGAGAGACGCGGGGUCCGUUAGGAUCGCUGGACGGUCAGUAUCGUUCUUAUGCAACGUUAUCUAAACGUCGUUGUUUGCUUAUGAUUUCCAUAAUUCCGUACACUUCGUCCGCGGCAGGCUCUAAAGAGCCAAUAUCGAGCAAAGUAGGUGUGUACUUUAAUUACUAGAGAUAAUUACGUCGUCACCGGCUUCAGUAAGGGAUGGAGGUUUACUAUGAUAACAGAGUAUCCAAUAUCCUGGUGAGUUACGUACCGAGCACGACAUAGCUUCGUGCAUAUGUAUUCCGCACGUACGCACGCUGGAUGUAUUUACUAUCGUAUGCACGCCAGCACAUGCCAGCCAGUCGCGUUUAACCUCCAUCCGUUAUUAAUAUAAUUAUCCUCGCGAUUAUUGUCUUACGGUUGCUGCAUUUAACUGCGGACGUACGAUAUCCGCACCUGUUUUCCUGUCGCCUUCCCUGAAAAUUAGCGUCUUGGUCACUUGCCUCCAGAGCAAUCCGUCUUUCCGUAGAUUCGCGACGAUUAAUUGAAUUAUUAAGUUAAUUAGUUGAAUUUUUUGUUAAUAAUUUCUAUUUCCUUAGAAUUUAAUUUGGACUUGACAUAUACGAAAAGUAAUGUUUAGAAAAUGCAGUGGACAACGUAAGGUACAUGUGUCACUUUUUGUGUGUGUACGAUUCUAUACACGGUAUACUAUCGUAUUUUCUUAGAAUUUAAUCUGUAAUUGCGAUAUAAAAGAGAUGAUUUCAGUAAUUAGGAAAUAUAGCGGGCAACACGAGGUUACGUGGCUACACUCGAUGUUAUAGGAAAUCACGUUAUGCGAACUCGUUAGAAGAUUAUACCAAUUUAAACGCGAAAGGUAAAAUUUUACUUCUCUAAUCUUUUGUAACUAUUAGUUUCUCUAUAUAUAGACAAGCAAGAGACGAGUAUCGCAUUUUCAAAAACAAAAUUUAAGAUUAUGGUACAGUGUUCAGCUCUUCUGAUCUCUUAUACGGUGAUUUACUAUUCUAAUGUACUAUUAUAAAAGAAGACAACCAAUUUAUAUUUCUACAGCACUCAUCGAUCGAAUGUUUGACUCGUAUGCAUGGAAAACAUGCCUCGGUACAUUGUAAUUGCCGUGACUGUUAGCACGACAGAGUUGACAAGGGUGGACCGGUCGAGGAAGAGGCAGGGAGUAAGAAUGCGUGGGGAAUUUUCGAGGUGAUAUGCGGACGAGGUAGCGUGAGCAUUCUCGCAUAUGGCGAUAGGACGAAAGCUACGGAGGUAGCACGUCGGAAUAAUUUAUUUAGCUGGAGCAAUGUAAUAAUGGCGGGGUUGCGCCGAGUGCAAACUGCAGAACGCGUUCAUUACUACUUUAGUCGAAAGUGUAUGGUGUGGACAAACCAGGAGGGAGGGCAUGUAUGGGGGAUGGGAGCACGCGAUGUGGGUGGAGACACACGUAUAUACAGGAUGGUUAACAUCGUACCGGAUCGGCGAGUUGUAAUGUGCGGUUCGCCAGACGGCGAUAUUGCCAACGUUAGGUACACUGGUCGUCCACCGGCCUCGAACAGGGUAGACCAUAAUUUUCGAUUCCUGUUAACCAUGUCCAACUAUUUUUAUCGCAACAGUGCGACGAACGGUGCUAUUAUACUUGCGCAUUGCACAUCUACGAAUGCGAACAAUUUUUUUCAUUCUCUUUUUCAUUUUUACCUCUACUCUUUUCUCUGCCUUAUGGGAAACCAUGACGAAUAGAUGGAAGGUAGCGCGCAGUCGCAAUUGUUGGUUACCACGAGGAAAGGGGUAGCUCGCGGAAGAUAUCGUGUCCCCGGGGGACGCGUUUGGAAAUUGGAAGCGAUCGUCGCAAGCUGUAACAUCGUCUCACGUCGAGCAGCUUCCGAUCAAUUUAUUUUUUGCUGGGAUUAAUACCCGUCGUUGAGACAGCGCUCGUUUCUUCGUUGGUGAACGAUAUUUUUAAUCGCUAAACGGCUACUUCUUUGGACAUACGUUCCUCGACAUGUCAUUCUUCAUUCUCAGGUGACCAAAUGAUAAAGAAAAGAGAAAUAUAUGAUUGCGCUAUGGUACUGUUUAUUAGAAGAUAAAGUGAACCGUUACCUUUUAUUUCUCGUAAUUUUCACCGGCGAGUGAACGUCUGCAAAUGCGACUGAAUUAAAAACGUAAUUAUAACAGCGAAAUUUUCAACGAGAGAGAGUUUUAACGGCGACCAGUGGAUACACAUACAUUUAGACGGGAUACAAACGGUUUUAAAUGUAUCACGCAGCUUGUUGCAGUUUUCCGUCGAGUAUAUCAGAGGGCGUCUGAAAACCGGGUAUCGCAUUUCUGCGGGUUUUCCCUCUAAUCACAUUCGGUAACUUAAGAGCCGCGCUGUAAUUCUUCGAGCCCGCGCGGUGCAACGGUCGAGCGAGACAAAAGAGCGAAACUGAAAAAAUAGAUUUAUUUUUCUUUCCGUAUCCGUGGACUCCUCUGUCCUCCAUAGAUCUUCCCCUUUUAUCCUUCCCAUAGUAUAGCCAGAAAUACGGUCGGCUACCCCGCGGGGCUCUACUAUUUAUAACUUCGACUCAUUUUCCCUCAUUGCGCGGAACAGCGGGACUCAGAUAAAUAAUUGUUUUUAACCGAAGUUUUAUUGUUACCGCGCCUGUAAACCAGUACAAAUUGCGCGACGUAAGGGCACACAUCGGCUAAAUGAAUUUAUGGAAAAAUAAGGAAUAAAAAAUAUUGGUGGCAGAGUUUGAGAACUCUGUGUGCAUGUUAAACUGCGACCGCGGACUCGUUUGUUAGAACGCGUGUGCAUAUUUUCGAAGAAGCAACCUUUUUGCUCUGUCGUACCGAACAAUUUGACUUUUGGUUUAUUUGAAAUGUCGGUUGUUGAAAUUUGUUUCGCGGAUGGGAAAUGUGAUAUCGAAAUUGAUCAUGGUGCUGAAUUUAUGUUUUAUACAAUUGAAAAUGUAUUUGGUACAUGGACUUUAGGUGAUGUAGUAUUGUUUUUGAGGAAAUGACAAAUCAAGGAAAUGACUUUUGAAUAUUAGAUGGUUUUGGAUGAGCUGACAAUUUUCAAAUUUUUAGUGUUCUCAAUUACUUCGAACGAUUUUCCAAUGGUCUUAAAUGUUAUUGAAAUGAUCUUCGAACAAUCUUGAGUUAGACUCUAAAUGACUUUAAAUAUGAGUCCUCGUGUCAAUUUUAUUCAAUUUAUUUCCUUAGAUCAGUUAAUUAAAUAAAGCGAUUAAAGAUUGCAGAAAUUUAAUGUGGCAUUUAAAAAAUUAGGCUAGGAUUAAUAAAUAUUUGCUUUUAGAUAAGUUUGAUCAAUGCGACUCCGUUUGAACGGCGGCGUUCUUUAAAAAUAAAUCAGAGCAUCGAAUGUCUGAAACGGUUCGAACAGGGCGCAACGGGUAUUAACGAUGUAAACGAUAAUGUAGAACAUUGUCCUGUGAUUCUGUUCCACGUUCAUUUGCAUGGAGCUUAAUGCGGACGCCGAUCGUUGUUUUACUGCAGACAAUGAAUUUCAAAUCAAUUUAUGCAACUACGAUCGCAACCUUCGUGUAACUCAUUGACGCUUGCCCAUAAACCAUCCAUGUUUAUCGCCCUAAUUACGCUAAGCAUCGCGUCAGCCGAAUAAUAUUCCUCGUGCGUGUUUAAUAGCGAUAAUAACGCUUUUUAUAAAUUUACAAAAUUUUCCAGUUUGCUAAAUUGUUCAUUAUACCUUUUAUCACUUAAAAACAAUAAUAUAAAUAAAAAAUAAAUAAAAUAAAUACUCGUUUG
rnacentral:lncRNA from 1 species